rfam:Arabidopsis lyrata subsp. lyrata unplaced genomic scaffold ARALYscaffold_5, whole genome shotgun sequence.
CUGUCAUUGGACGAAGUGAAUGGGUCAAAUGGGCUUGCCUAAGUUCCGACCCAGGAAAGUCCCCGGGCUACUAUCCGCAGAGAUGCGGCCUCUGUAACGAGAGAGUCUUGCGGUGGAGAGACUCAGUCGGCUGAGACGCGUUUGUGGAGCUUAUGUGGUCUCUCCGCCGAUGAUAUCAUGGCCGUUCGACAGUUAUUCACCUGGUCCUUAAUGGACUAACUGAACGGGGCUUACGUUUCAAUGACA